GCCUGGGUGGCUCAGUCGGUUGAGCGUCCGACUUCAGCUCAGGUCAUGAUCUCGCAGUUCGUGAGUUCGAGCCCCGCGUCAGGCU
rnacentral:tRNA from 1 species